CAAAACAUAAACUGAACUGGGAAAAGUAACAUUGUAACACAGUAACAUAGUAUAUAAGGCCGAAAAAAGACAUUUGUACAUCCAGUUCGGCUUGUUAUUCCUGCAAGUGGAUCCAGAGGAAGGGGGAAAAAAAACUGUGAGGUAGUAGCAAAUUUUCCCCACUUAAGGGGAAAAAA